rnacentral:misc_RNA from 1 species
UAGUCAAAACUCCAAGUUGUUUGUAUUUUUUUGUUGAAGUUUUAUUUGUUUUAGUUGCAUGUCCUGCUUCUGCUCUUGCAAGUUAACUCUUUCCUUUUCAAUCAUUUAAAUGUAAUUUCUCUGCUCAGAACAAAGACAGAUUAAUCAUAUGCUAUUAUGUUUAUAAUAAUUCCUAGAGCAUACAUGGAACCGUGAGUAAAAUUACCGGAACCUUCUAGUUACUAGGUUUGAAUUAUUGUGAGUUAUGAUCAUACAGUUCUUGAUGGAUUUUUGUCUUAACCUUGUAGUGAUUCAUAAAUCAGUUUACCCAAGUAUGAAUGUGGGAGAAGUUUUUUGGAUGCAAAUCAUGUUACCUAGCUAAAAUGAAAGAUAACUGCUGCCCCCCCCAAAAACACAUUCACUGAGAGAGAGAGAGUUCUUAACUUCUUAUGCUUGUAAUGCUACUGCUACCACUUCUGUCUCUGUUUACUGAUGGCGCCCUCUAAAGGGGAGAUCUAACCAAGUCCCUCUAGCAGCUAACUGAUUGGCCUGUAUGUUAAUGGUUGCAUCCUUAUAUUUCAUCUCACAUGUAAGUGAUGCAUACUGUUAUGAAACAGGAUUCUCAGUUUCAGAGAAGAGCAGAAAUUAGAGAG